CCUUAAACUAUUCAUUAGAACCUCACGAUGGCAUUGGUUUAUAAAAGCAACGGCUGAUAUAGCGGCAUUUGAGAAGGUCCUGGUUACGUGAAAACGUUCCCGCUUCUUCCCUUGUUAAAACCAGAAACUAAAAUUUCCUCAAUUAUCAUCCCAAAAACCCUAAUUCCGGUUUAGAGAACCCAAUCGAAAUAGAAAUCAAACUUUGAACUAGUUGAAAGAUGGGAGAAAGAAAAGUGUUGAAAAAGUAUUACCCGCCGGAUUUCAAUCCGUCGAAGCUUCCGAGGGUCGGGCGACCCAAGAACCAACAGAUGAAGGUUCGAAUGAUUCUUCCGAUGAGCAUCCGUUGUAACACCUGGGGCAAUUACAUCUACAAAGGCACUAAGUUCAAUUUCCGCAAGGGAGAUGUCAUCGGCGAUUUGGAAAUAUUAGUAUUUGUUUUUUCCAUUUCAACUUCGAACGCUAGGAAAAAGCAUGUAGAAAAAGCAACGAUCAAAAGCUAUCUUUUGCUUUACAUAUUUGGGAAUCCAAAUAUUUAGGUUUUAUUUCAAAUGCAGCAGGUGCUCUGCUGAGAUUACAAUAAAGACUGAUCCACAAAAUUCAGAUUAUGUCGUCGAAUCCGGUGCCACGAGAAAUUUUGAACCUUGGCGUGCUGAGGAUGAGGAAGCAGAAAAGGAGAGACAGAAAAGAGAAUCUAAAGAAAUGGGGAAUGCUAUGAAAUCAUUGGAGAACAGAUCGUUGGAUUCGAAAAGAGAGAUGGACAUCCUUGCUGCACUUGAUCUCUAAUGAAGUCUAUGAAGACAUGCUAAUGUGAGUGUAGAUGCAAUGCUUGAGAUCCUGCAGGGCACUGCUGCAGAAAAGGAGAGGAAUAUAGAAGAAGAAGAUGAAGCCCUUAUAAAAUCAAUUUU